rnacentral:rRNA from 1 species
UACGAAGGGGGCUAGCGUUGCUCGGAAUUACUGGGCGUAAAGGGCGCGUAGGCGGCGACUUAUGCAGGCGUGGAAUUCCUGGGCUCAACCUGGGGACUGCGCUUGAUACGGCAGUGCUUGAGGAUGGAAGAGGCUCGCGGAAUUCCCAGUGUAGAGGUGAAAUUCGUAGAUAGUUGGGAAGAACACCGGUGGCGAAGGCGGCGAGCUGGUCCAUUACUGGACGCUGAGGCGCGACAGCGUGGGGAGC